rnacentral:hammerhead_ribozyme from 1 species
AUCCAGCUGACGAGUUCUAAAUAGAAUGAAACCUGUUCCUGGAU